rnacentral:tRNA from 1 species
UUAAUUGAAACCAAAUAGAGGUGUACCACUGUUAAUGGUAUCAUUGAAGAGAGACUCCAAUUAAA